GACAGAGGGUGCAAACGUUGUUCGGAAUUACUGGGCGUAAAGCGAGUGUAGGCGGUCUCAACAGUCGGGUGUGAAAGCCCCGGGCUCAACCCGGGAAGUGCACUCGAUACUGCGAGGCUAGAGUAUCGGAGAGGUUGGUGGAAUUCUCGGUGUAGAGGUGAAAUUCGUAGAUAUCGAGAGGAACACCGGUGGCGAAGGCGGCCAACUGGACGAAUACUGACGCUGAGACUCGAAAGCGUGGGGAGCAAACAGG
rnacentral:rRNA from 1 species